rnacentral:miRNA from 1 species
UCGUUCACCUCGGAAAUAGUGGA